rnacentral:rRNA from 1 species
UCUCCUGGAAAACGGGUGGUAAUGCCGGAUGUUCCACAUGAUCGCAUGUGAUUGUGGGAAAGAUUCUAUCGGCGUGGGAUGGGGUCGCGUCCUAUCAGCUUGUUGGUGAGGUAACGGCUCACCAAGGCUUCGACGGGUAGCCGGCCUGAGAGGGCGACCGGCCACAUUGGGACUGAGAUACGGCCCAGACUCCUACGGGAGGCAGCAGUGGGGAAUAUUGCACAAUGGGCGCAAGCCUGAUGCAGCGACGCCGCGUGAGGGAUGGAGGCCUUCGGGUUGUAAACCUCUUUUGUUUGGGAGCAAGCCUUCGGGUGAGUGUACCUUUCGAAUAAGCGCCGGCUAACUACGUGCCAGCAGCCGCGGUAAUACGUAGGGCGCAAGCGUUAUCCGGAUUUAUUGGGCGUAAAGGGCUCGUAGGCGGCUCGUCGCGUCCGGUGUGAAAGUCCAUCGCUUAACGGUGGAUCUGCGCCGGGUACGGGCGGGCUGGAGUGCGGUAGGGGAGACUGGAAUUCCCGGUGUAACGGUGGAAUGUGUAGAUAUCG